GACGAACGCUGGCGGCGUGCUUAACACAUGCAAGUCGAACGGUGAUGAUGGGGCUUGCCCUGUCGGAUCAGUGGCGAACGGGUGAGUAACACGUGAGUAACCUGCCCCAGACUCUGGGAUAACCCCGGGAAACCGGAGCUAAUACCGGAUAUGACCCUUGUGCGCAUGUGCGGGGGUGGAAAGUUUUUCGGUCUGGGAUGGGCUCGCGGCCUAUCAGCUUGUUGGUGAGGUAGUGGCUCACCAAGGCGACGACGGGUAGCCGGCCUGAGAGGGCGACAGGCCACACUGGGACUGAGACACGGCCCAGACUCCUACGGGAGGCAGCAGUGGGGAAUAUUGCACAAUGGGCGAAAGCCUGAUGCAGCGACGCCGCGUGAGGGAUGACGGCCUUCGGGUUGUAAACCUCUUUCAGCAGGGAAGAAGCGGAAGUGACGGUACCUGCAGAAGAAGCACCGGCUAACUACGUGCCAGCAGCCGCAGUAAAAC
rnacentral:rRNA from 1 species